rnacentral:lncRNA from 1 species
GGCAUCGCAAGACAUGUCGCUGGAGCAGGGGGACAGCCAACUGUUCAGCAAUUUUUGUUCAUUUACCGGUUGCUCUCGGUGAACAACUUGAUCCGUCCUCCACAGAGAGCCUCGGUUGAAGGGGAUGGUCCGCGUCUCCUCUUGAAAAUGCAGGAUCUCUUUCAACAUAAAGAGCCUACUGUUAAUCAGAUUGAUACCUUGGCAGUUCUUUUUGACGAUAUACUGCUGGAGCCUGCUGAAUGCAUGCAAGACAUGAUUCAUCCCGAAGUCAACGAGGGACUGUAUUUUGGAUUACCUUGGUGGGUAUGUAGCAAAAAAGUUUGCUAAAAUAAGCUGCAAGGACUGCCUCCAAACACUCAGAAGCAACUCCCGAGAGCCAACUGCAUUGACUCAAAUCAAGACAAGAGGAUUUUUGCAAGUGCCAUCGGAGAAUUACUGCGGCUCUUGCAAAUUGUGGAAGAACAUGUGGAAAUGUGCACGGUGGACAAAAUAGCCUGUGCCAGUGUUUACAUGAACAUUGUUGAGAACAUCCUGCUGGACGACCGCACUUCUUCGGCCAGUGUUGGCUGUGGCUCACAUUUCGUGAGCACUACGGCAGAAGUUGUGCACUUUUUUAUUAAGUGCCGUCUGCAUUUUUUUACGCGUGAGCAGAACAAACUGUUUCGUGCUGGCGGACGUCGUUUAUCCUGCCCGGCCAAAGGAGGGAGGAAACCAGGGACAUAAAUUUUUUCAAUGAUUUUUGUUGUGUCAUCCACUCCGUCUCCCAACUUUCAUCCACAGUUUUGAAACGCAGAUUUGAAUAAACUAUGUGCCUGUGCUCAUGGCAGUUUCGAA